UACGAAGGGGGCUAGCGUUGCUCGGAAUCACUGGGCGUAAAGCGCACGUAGGCGGACUCUUAAGUCGGUGGUGAAAUCCUGGAGCUCAACUCCAGAACUGCCUUCGAUACUGAGAGUCUCGAGUCCGGGAGAGGUGAGUGGAACUGCGAGUGUAGAGGUGAAAUUCGUAGAUAUUCGCAAGAACACCAGUGGGCGAAGGCGGCUCACUGGCCCGGUACUGACGCUGAGGUGCGGAAAGCGUGGGGAGCAAACAGG
rnacentral:rRNA from 1 species